rnacentral:rRNA from 1 species
GACGAACGCUGGCGGCGUGCCUAAUACAUGCAAGUAGAACGCUGAAGAGAGGAGCUUGCUCUUCUUGGAUGAGUUGCGAACGGGUGAGUAACGCGUAGGUAACCUGCCUUGUAGCGGGGGAUAACUAUUGGAAACGAUAGCUAAUACCGCAUAACAAUGGAUGACACAUGUCAUUUAUUUGAAAGGGGCAAUUGCUCCACUACAAGAUGGACCUGCGUUGUAUUAGCUAGUAGGUGAGGUAACGGCUCACCUAGGCGACGAUACAUAGCCGACUGAGAGGGUGAUCGGCCACACUGGGACUGAGACACGGCCCAGACUCCUACGGGAGGCAGCAGUAGGGAAUCUUCGGCAAUGGGGGCAACCCUGACCGAGCAACGCCGCGUGAGUGAAGAAGGUUUUCGGAUCGUAAAGCUCUGUUGUAAGUCAAGAACGAGUGUGAGAGUGGAAAGUUCACACUGUGACGGUAGCUUACCAGAAAGGGACGGCUAACUACGUG